UACGUAGGGGGCAAGCGUUGUCCGGAAUCAUUGGGCGUAAAGAGCGUGUAGGCGGCCCGGUAAGUCUGUUGUGAAAGUCCAGGGCUCAACCCUGGAAUGCCGAUGGAUACUGCCGGGCUAGAGUUCGGAAGAGGCGAGUGGAAUUCCUGGUGUAGCGGUGGAAUGCGCAGAGUAUCAGGAGGAACACCUAUAGCGAAGGCAGCUCGCUGGGACGACACUGACGUUGAGACGCGAAAGCGUGGGGAGCGAACAGG
rnacentral:rRNA from 1 species